UGCGUUUUUGCGUUUUCUAAUGC
rnacentral:siRNA from 1 species